AUGAUGAUUAUAUUGCAAGGAAAAGGAAGAAAAAUAUACUGGUAUAUCUUACUAGAACAACCCACAAUGAGAACAGUCCAUAUAAUAGUUCACCCUUGUCUAAGCAAACUCUUCUCUCGUUCUCUCUCUCUCACCUUUAUGAAGUGCUUCACCUAAUUUAUAAUUUGUACCACACCCAUUUCUCAUCUAAAUGGGGUGGUUACAAUCCUUCUUCUCUCCACUGAAGAAGCUAUGGUUUCGCCUCCACUCGGCUCCGAAAAAAGGAAGAGGCAUUUACAUUUUGUACGAGGAUGUGAAAUCUUGCCAAUAUGAAGAUGUGCAUGUUUUGUGGUCAAUACUAGUGGAGUCAUCACAUAAACCUGCAGCAAUAUUACCAUCUACACAACCCAAGCUCUUAUGCACACCUCCCAAACAAGUAAAUGAGAGAGGAUAAUGAUUACAAUGAUUUCGGUGAUCUGUACAUAUUACUAUAAAUUAAUGUGAUUUUGGUACAUAUUAUAAUUAUGUAAGUGUUUCUUUUGUGAUUGCUGUGUGAACGAACAACUUAGAAUAAUAAGUUACCUACCCAUAAUUUUUGAUGAAUCCACACUCCUCUUUCAAUGCUCCAUGUAUACUUUUUCAAUUCAAUGCACUAUGUUUUGGAUAGCGCAUAAUAUAUAUAUUUCUAUGUCGAA